rnacentral:rRNA from 1 species
CUUCGGGGGCAGAGUGACAGGUGGUGCAUGGUUGUCGUCAGCUCGUGUCGUGAGAUGUUGGGUUAAGUCCCGCAACGAGCGCAACCCUUGAUCUUAGUUGCCAGCAUUCAGUUGGGCACUCUAAGGUGACUGCCGGUGACAAACCGGAGGAAGGUGGGGAUGACGUCAAAUCAUCAUGCCCCUUAUGACCUGGGCUACACACGUGCUACAAUGGGCAGAACAAAGGGCAGCGAAGCCGCGAGGCUAAGCCAAUCCCACAAAUCUGUUCUCAGUUCGGAUCGCAGUCUGCAACUCGACUGCGUGAAGCUGGAAUCGCUAGUAAUCGCGGAUCAGCAUGCCGCGGUGAAUACGUUCCCGGGCCUUGUACACACCGCCCGUCACACCACGAGAGUUUGUA